rnacentral:misc_RNA from 1 species
CCACCCUCGUGCCCCCGUUGGCGCGGUGUUGGGGCACUACGCGCGCCGUAGGCCCUCAAAUUCAGUGGCGGGACCGCCGCCGCUCCGAGCGUAGUACUUACGUCGCUCAGGGGCUGCCGCGGUGAGUCCUCGCCGUAAAACGCUACCAACCCUCCUCGG